rnacentral:rRNA from 1 species
GACGAACGCUGGCGGCGUGCCUAAUACAUGCAAGUAGAACGCAGUUGCGAACGGGUGAGUAACGCGUAGGUAACUGCCUGGUAGCGGGGGAUAAAUAUUGGAAACGAUAGCUAAUACCGCAUACCACUAGAUGGACCUGAGGUGUAUUAGCUAGUUGGUGGGGUAAAGGCUCACCAAGGCAACGAUACAUAGCCGACCUGAAAGGGUGAUAGGCCACACUGGGACUUGUGAAAGGCCCAGACUCCUACGGGAGGCAUCAGGAGGGAAUCUUCGGCAAUGGACGGAAUGCUGACCGAGCAACGGCGCGUGAGUGGAGAAGGUUUUCGGAUCGUAAAGCGCUGUUGUAAGAGAAGCGGUAUCUUACCAGAAAGGGACGGCUAACUACGUGCCAGCAGCCGCGGUAAUAC